CCGUGCUGAGGCAGAGUGGAGCUGGAGCUGGAGCAGGGGCAGUCUGGAGCUGAGUGCGGCAGCAUUGAAAUGACACAAGUCUAAAAGUACCAAGUCCUGUACAGAAAGGGAAGUGUGACCUUUUAACUCCAGUUGAGUUGAUGAACCAGAAGAACCUGCAGAUCUCAUCAGAGACAGACCCAGAUUAGUGGAGCAUAUCAAUUCUUCAUUUUUCCCCAAAGGGAGUUCUUGCACUGCUGUGAGAUCAAGCGGCAUGGAUCAGGCAGCUCCAGCACUGCAGUGACCAACACCCAGCAGAGAGAGAGAAAGCACCGAUCUGACACCAGCUACCAAGAGCCAGCCAAAUCCCCAGGAAGAUUCCUGCCCCUCAAUUCAUCCAGGCACCCCGGGGCUCCCAGCUGCCUCUGCAGCUGGUAGCUCCAGGGUGAUUUAAAGGCCCUGGGGCUCACAGCCACAGCCGGAGCCUCUUGAAAGGCCCCGCCUCUUCUGGCUGAGGCCCCGCCUCUUCCAGCUGAGGCCCCACCUCACUCAGGA